UACCCACACCCCGAGUGGUCGGGACGUUUAUUGGGCCUAAAGCAUCCGUAGCCGGUUCUACAAGUCUUCCGUUAAAUCCACCUGCUUAACAGAUGGGCUGCGGAAGAUACUAUAGAGCUAGGAGGCGGGAGAGGCAAGCGGUACUCGAUGGGUAGGGGUAAAAUCCGUUGAUCCAUUGAAGACCACCAGUGGCGAAGGCGGCUUGCCAGAACGCGCUCGACGGUGAGGGAUGAAAGCUGGGGGAGCAAACCGG
rnacentral:rRNA from 1 species